AACGUAGGAGACAAACGUUAUCCGGAGUUACUGGGCGUAAAGGGCGUGUAGGUGGUUUUGUAAGUCUGGCGUGAAAUUUUUCGGCUUAACCGGGAAAGGUCGUCGGAUACUGCAAGGCUAGAGGACGGUAGAGGCGUGUGGAAUUCCGGGUGUAGUGGUGAAAUGCGUAGAGAUCCGGAGGAACACCAGUGGCGAAGGCGACACGCUGGGCCGUACCUGACACUGAUGCGCGACAGCAUGGGUAGCAAACAGG
rnacentral:rRNA from 1 species